CCUACGGGAGGCAGCAGUGGGGGAUAUUGCACAAUGGGGGAAACCCUGAUGCAGCGACGCCGCGUGUGGGAAGACGGUCCUCUGGAUUGUAAACCACUGUCCCCAGGGACGAAGAUGACGGUACCUUGGGAGGAAGCUUCGGCUAACUACGUGCCAGCAGCCGCGGUAAUACGUAGGGAGCAAGCGUUGUCGGGAGUUACUGGGGGUAAAGGGAGCGUAGGCGGGAUGGCAAGUUGGGUGUUAAAUCUACCGGCUCAACUGGUAGUCGCACUCAAAACUGCUAGUCUUGAGUGAAGUAGAGGCAGGCAGAAUUCCUGGUGUAGCGGUGAAAUGCGUAGAUAUUAGGAGGAACACCAGUGGCGAAGGCGGCCUGCUGGGCUUUUACUGACGCUGAGGCGCGAAAGUGUGGGGAGCAAACAGGAUUAGAUACCCGAGUAGUC
rnacentral:rRNA from 1 species